rnacentral:lncRNA from 1 species
AAAGGCUUCUGAAAUAGUGAUCAGGGAGGUGCAGCACCCUGCAACCAAGUCUGAGGAGGAAGAUAUAAAAAGUUAUCCCGAGAUUACUGCACUACAAACUAUGGUUGCUGAAUGUCAAGAAAAGCUUUGUAAGUUGGCUUGGAUAGAGAAAAGGCUGGACUGUUUGGAGGAACGAAUGAAAGGGAAAGUGAUAGUAGAUGAAAAGACGUGGACUAAUCUUCUCAGUCGGAUCACUCUACUUGAAACAGAAUUGCUUUUGUCUAAAAAGGAUAAAUGUGUAGAAUUUAAUGCAGUGAGUGAUGACUGUGCUUCCUGCAGUGACGUAGAUCUGGUGACCCUUGAUGGAAAAAUCAAAACGGAGAGGCCAGCAAAUAUUCCUCUGUCUUCAAAUUCGACUCCCAGAGCCUCAACGAUUAAUUACUGUGGUUUGAAAGAUAUCUCAGAGGAAACAACAAUCCAGAAAAUGGAAAGGAUGAAAAAAAUGUUUGAAGAAACUGCAGAGUUAUUAAAAUGUCCAAGUCACUAAUUGUAGAAUUUUCUGCAUGAACUGCUGUAGAACUUUGGCUACUGUACAUGUUGUAUAUUUUAAGAACUUUCUAUAUAAUUUUAAUAUACCAUAAUAUUUUUAUUAAGAAUUUGUAUUCUAUUUGGUAUAUGAGUUUUUCCAUUCACUAUUGAAUAAACACUUUAGUAUUUUUGAACUGUUUUUAUGCUGGUUUACUCUCACUUUUGGUAGAAAAAACGUAUUAAGUUCUAGUACAUUGCUUUUACAGAAUGAAGUCAUUACAGCAAGCCCUGUAUUUUUGUGUUGACAUUUGUUGGCAGUGUGCUAAGUAAUAUGUUUUUUAAAGUACAGGCUUGAGGACUAUAGUUUACAUCCUGUUGGAAGCAUUCCAAGUAGGGCUUGCAUAUCGUACCCCAGAGGCUCAGACAUAUGAUCAGCCAUCUGUGCUGACGGGUAAGUUGUAAUGAAAAGUCAGAAGUGCUCAUUGACAAAUAAAACAAAAACAAGCUAUUUCAUGCUCAGUCGAAAAGUAGCAGUAUUAACAUUGAGAAAGGAAGGAUGAACUCCUUUGGCAGUCAGAUGGGUCUGCAGGUUCACUGUGAGAAAUGAGCGGAAUAUUUUAGUGCUCCAUUCUAUCACAUAUUUUUAAAGUAGCAGCACAGACACAGCUGGUGGACAGCCGGGGUUUGAAGAUACACAGUUAGCUUUUCCUUUCUGUUUCAGUGAUGAGAAGUUUGUAAAAAGUUUUGAAGAGAAAAAGCCUUAGAUGAAAGUAAAUAGAUAAUUAAAAUCACUUAAAAAUGUUUUGUAUAAACAUCUUUUUCUAACUUUGUAAACAAAAAUACACUAAUCCUGUAGAAUCAAGGAAAUGGACCAUUACUGCAAAGAUAAAGCACUUUUCUUUCUUAUAUUGAUC